GAUGUGAGAAGGGGAAGUUCCAGCAGCCAGUGGCGAUUUCUCCUGAACUGGAAAAGAGACUCAGUGAUUUCUCCCAGAAAACUGUUGCUCUAAUGGAGACUCUGAGGAAAUUCAAAGACACUCCAUCAGCACUGGAGAGAAAAAGAGGAGAAUCCCAUGGAUCAAUCAGACAUGCAAAUGUGACUCUGGAUCCAAACAUGGCUCAUCCCCAGUGCAUCUUGUCUAAGAAUCAGAAAAGUGUGAGAUGGGAAGACACACGGCAGGAUCUGCCCAACAAACCUGAGAGAUUUUACAUUGAUCCCUGUGUGCAGGGCUGGGAGGUAUUCACCUCUGAGAGACAUUGCUGGGAGGUGGAGGUGGGGAGUGGAGGAUACUGGGUGGCCAGAGAGUCUGGGAGGAGGAAGGGAUGGAUCAGCUUUAGCCCUGGGAGGGAAUCUGGACUGUGGAGCCAUGGGAGGAUCAGUGCCAUGCUCUCACCUCCCCUGUGACCCACCUGCCCCUAAGCCAUGUCCCCAGGAGGAUCCAGGUUUGUCUGUACAGUGACCUGGGGCAGGUGACAUUUUUUGAUGCUGGUAACAAGGCCCCAGUCUUCACUUUUCCACCUGCCUGUCACUGGGGAUAGAAUCUGUCCCUGGCUCCAGGUGUUAGGGAUCAAACUUUGUCCCUAAGACAUGAGGAAAAUAUCGCACUGUGUAAUCAGACUGUCUAGCAUCAGAAACCCUUGUCUCCAUAACCCUGGAGAACUCCUGUCUUCCUACAGACUUUGUACCAUGCAAUCUCUAUGACCCUGCAGGCUCACUGGAGGGUCACUGGACUACCAAACCAUAGAGAGCAGGGAGUGAUCAAAAUGGAGAAGCUAAUCUCAUUGCUACUGGGAAGGGAUUGUCCCACCUGUUUGUCACUGUCCUCUAUGGUCCAGGAGGACUCUGGGAAUCCUGGGUCAGACUGUAUCACUGAGACAUGGAGGUGGGGCGGAACAGCCAUGAAAUUAUGGGCAUCUCUAGCCACAGUCAUCCUAGUUUAUAAAAUGCUUGGAGGACUCUCAGCUACCCAGCUCCCUAGCCCGUCUCUGUGUCCCCUGGAAUCUCCUCCCCGCUCCCUCCCUGCAGCACCAGGAAGGCAUGCUGCUGCAAGACAGAGUUGCGAGUGGGGUCAUCGGAAUGAAGAUGACUUGGCUGUGGGGAGGGGAGGGUCAGGUACAGGACAGAUUUAACUAGAAGGGAGAUAA